UGAGCUGUUGGAUUCGGGGCCGUAGCACUGUCUGAGAGGUUUACAUUUCUCACAGUGAACCGGUCUCUUUUUCAGCUGCUUC
rnacentral:pre_miRNA from 17 species